rnacentral:rRNA from 1 species
GGAGGGUGCAAGCGUUAUCCGGAUUUACUGGGUUUAAAGGGUGUGUAGGCGGACUUUUAAGUCAGCGGUGAAAUCUCCGGGCUCAACCCGGAAACUGCCAUUGAUACUAUUGGUCUUGAAUGUUGUUGAGGUGGGCGGAACGGGUCAUGUAGCGGUGAAAUGCAUAGAUAUGACCCGGAACACCGAUUGCGAAGGCAGCCCACUAAGCAAUGAUUGACGCUGAGGCACGAAAGCGUGGGGAUCAAACAGGAUUAGAUACCCUGGUAGUCCACGCCCUAAACGAUGAUUACUCGACGUUGGCGAUACACUGAUCAGCGUCCAAAGGAAAGCAUUAAGUAAUCCACCUGGGAAGUACGUUCGUAAAAAU